UUCCCUGUGCUGCUUGUCAAAGCCCACGUUUCUGAAGACUUGGCCUACCCUGACACAAUGGCCUGAAACCGGUUUUCUUUACUCCAGGUUGCGCCAAGGGAUGCUAUGUCUGCCACAUCCGUUCUGCAAAUGGGCAGAUGUGUUCUGCAUUCUCCCCCCAACCCUCCGCCCCACAAA